UGAACCACAAGCAGCUGAGAACUCGCAGACCGUGCAGAGCGCUAAGAUGGUCCAGUUUUGUUCCCUCCUUGAACACUCGGCCCAGACUCCGGGUCAGCGAGAAAGCCGUUGUGAAGCGUGCGAAGAAUGCUGCGGAAGAAGUGAUUUCAGCCAUUAUGCCUCCAUUGAACACCAUUUGCAGAAGAUCCGAAAGACUCACGAAGAUGGUCGGGACCGGUAGAGAUCAAGGGGCUUCCGGCAGUGUGGCGUCCUUAGCUACGAAGCCGGUGAAGCUUGGACACGUCACCUGCGCCGCUCGAUGAGAGCCACCUUCGGGGUGGUAUCGAAUUUUCCUGAUUUUUUUAUCGUGAUCCACCCACCAUUGGGGUCCACCGAGUUUGACAUUCCCGUGCAGACGUGCGACGUAUACACGACGUCAGUGUGACGACAUUGUGACUAUACGAGGGCGUUCCUUUGGCGCCAGGCUUCACCCGCUCCUGCUGCAGAAUUAUUUCUGUUCCACUAGCCGCUACAGAAAAUGCGUGUGGCGGAUGUGUGGAAGAGGCCGCUGACACGUGACCAUCCUGGCGACAGCGUCAUGGAUACGUCACGCGAGCUGAUGGGGAGAUUCUCCCGCUUCCUCAUCGCCGUCUGUGCGGGCCCACCGGCUACUCUCAGGACGAAACACACAUAACUCUAGAAAGUAGUACGAUUUCCAGCAAGAGGGCUUGCAGAAGAGUGUGUGGUCAAAUGCUCCCAUCACACAUUUAUUUCAAUUACGCUAGAGAGGGGAAGCUUACCGCUCUAAUUAGAGGGAACAUUAGGAGCAUUCUUUUAUACGUAUACUAAAUACUUUACUACUUUCGA